AUUGAACGCUGGCGGCAUGCCUUACACAUGCAAGUCGAACGGUAACAGGUUAAGCUGACGAGUGGCGUACGGGUGAGUAAUGUAUCGGAACGUGCCCAGUCGUGGGGGAUAACUGCUCGAAAGAGCAGCUAAUACCGCAUACGACCUGAGGGUGAAAGCGGGGGAUCGCAAGACCUCGCGCGAUUGGAGCGGCCGAUAUCAGAUUAGGUAGUUGGUGAGGUAAAGGCUCACCAAGCCGACGAUCUGUAGCUGGUCUGAGAGGACGACCAGCCACACUGGGACUGAGACACGGCCCAGACUCCUACGGGAGGCAGCAGGGGGGAAUUUUGGACAAUGGGCGCAAGCCUGAUCCAGCCAUGCCGCGUGCGGGAAGAAGGCCUUCGGGUUGUAAACCGCUUUUGUCAGGGAAGAAAAGGUUCUGGCUAAUACCUGGGACUCAUGACGGUACCUGAAGAAUAAGCACCGGCUAACUACGUGCCAGCAGCCGCGGUAACAC
rnacentral:rRNA from 1 species